UACGUAGGGCGCAAGCGUUGUCCGGAAUUAUUGGGCGUAAAGGGCGUGUAGGCGGCCAGGUAGGUCUGCUGUGAAAACUCGAGGCUUAACCUCGAGAUGUCGGCGGAAACCAUCUGGCUAGAGUCCGGAAGAGGAGAGUGGAAUUCCUGGUGUAGCGGUGAAAUGCGCAGAUAUCAGGAAGAACACCCGUGGCGAAGGCGGCUCUCUGGGACGGUACUGACGCUGAGACGCGAAAGCGUGGGGAGCGAACAGG
rnacentral:rRNA from 1 species